rnacentral:rRNA from 1 species
UNGNAANUACGAGUUUNCACUCAUCAACCCUGUGAACAUACCUAAAACGUUGCCUCGGCGGGAACAGACGGCCCCGUAACACGGGCCGCCCCCGCCAGAGGACCCCCUAACUCUGUUUCUAUAAUGUUUCUUCUGAGUAAACAAGCAAAUAAAUUAAAACUUUCAACAACGGAUCUCUUGGCUCUGGCAUCGAUGAAGAACGCAGCGAAAUGCGAUAAGUAAUGUGAAUUGCAGAAUUCAGUGAAUCAUCGAAUCUUUGAACGCACAUUGCGCCCGCCAGUAUUCUGGCGGGCAUGCCUGUUCGAGCGUCAUUACAACCCUCAGGCCCCCGGGCCUGGCGUUGGGGAUCGGCGGAAGCCCCCUGCGGGCACAACGCCGUCCCCCAAAUACAGUGGCGGUCCCGCCGCAGCUUCCAUUGCGUAGUAGCUAACACCUCGCAACUGGAGAGCGGCGCGGCCACGCCGUAAAACACCCAACUUCUGAAUGUUGACCUCGAAUCAGGUAGGAAUACCCGCUGAACUUAAGCAUAUCAAUAAGCCGGGAGGAA